rnacentral:rRNA from 1 species
UGGGGAAUUUUGGACAAUGGGCGAAAGCCUGAUCCAGCAAUGCCGCGUGUGUGAAGAAGGCCUUCGGGUUGUAAAGCACUUUUGUCCGGAAAGAAAUCCUUGGCUCUAAUACAGUCGGGGGAUGACGGUACCGGAAGAAUAAGCACCGGCUAACUACGUGCCAGCAGCCGCGGUAAUACGUAGGGUGCAAGCGUUAAUCGGAAUUACUGGGCGUAAAGCGUGCGCAGGCGGUUUGCUAAGACCGAUGUGAAAUCCCCGGGCUCAACCUGGGAACUGCAUUGGUGACUGGCAGGCUAGAGUAUGGCAGAGGGGGGUAGAAUUCCACGUGUAGCAGUGAAAUGCGUAGAGAUGUGGAGGAAUACCGAUGGCGAAGGCAGCCCCCUGGGCCAAUACUGACGCUCAUGCACGAAAGCGUGGGGAGCAAACAGGAUUAGAUACCCUGGUAGUCCACGCCCUAAACGAUGUCAACUAGUUGUUGGGGAUUCAUUUCCUUAGUAACGUAGCUAACGCGUGAAGUUGACCGCCUGGGGAGUACGGUCGCAAGAUUAAACUCAAAGGAAUUGACGGGGUCAUAGCUGUUUCC